CCUCAUGCCGAAAUCUUGGCAUUAUCCUGGACUCCUGUCUUACUCCCACAUCUUCUGCAACCCUUCAGAAGACCCUGCCCACUCUACCUUCAGAACAUACCCAGAACGCACCCCAGCUCCUCACAUCCACUGCCUCUACUGCGUCGAGGUUCCCAGGACCUCCAGGUCUUCUGCCCCUGUCUCCAGCAGUGAUCCCCAAGACUGGGAUUCACAUGGGAGCUUUACAGACUAUGAAUGCUUGAGCACUCAGAGCCUGAUAGAACUGGUUGGGUAUGGGCAGCCAGUAAGAAUUUUGAAAGCUCCCCAAGCAAUUCCAUUGUGCAGCCAGGGUCAAAAAACUCUGAUGCCGGUGGAAUUUAAAUCCAUGACUCCGGCUGUGAUCACCUGAGGAGUGGUUAUAGCUGGAGGAGUGCAGAGGUCGGAGACGGAGCACAGGAGUCUCCAAUAUGCAGAGGCUGCGAAAAGAGGAGGAACCAGGAGGAGAUGGAAAAGAGACUGACCCAAUUGCUGCGUCAGGGGUGGUCAAUUGCUCUUGACCAAUUGGACACACUGCUUGAGCUUUGCGUAGGAAAUCAGCAUCCCCUGGACCCCAGCGGCAUGGAAGAACUGAGGGCGGACACCGGCAUCAGCUUCUCCUGGGCAAAGGGAAAGACCAGGUGGCCAAGAAACAUCUACUAAACCAGUACUGUUGCAAUCGAUGGAACAAAUUCCCUCACAAUGGGCACUGGAGUGGUUUCCGGGGUUUUGCUGGUACACAUAAUUCUCCAAUCAAGGCUCCAAUGCCACCUCUUCCAGGAAGCUCUCCAGGAUUGCUCAAGCCAUGCUUAUCACCUGACCUCUACUACCAUCUCCCCAGGGGCGAGGAAUCUGCAGCAGGCAUUUUAACCCAGAGUGGGUCGGCGUAUGCAUACGUAGGACCUCAUGGGUAUUGCAGUCAGACCCAGAUUAGAAUGGUGCCUCUCUGCCAUCUACCCUCUAAAAUAAACGUGGG